GAAAAACUAGCCUUUUCAAAUUCAAGUUGUGUGACCUCCAAUUCUCUUUAGCUUCCCUCCAAUUAUUUUUAGUCUCUAAAUUCCCCCAUUCAAAUUCGAAGCCUACGAUCUCUCUCUCUCUCUCCAUUUCUCUUCCUCUGAUCGGGUUAGAAAUUUUCCUCCGCAGAUUCACACAAAACUUUGCCUUUCACUAUUCACCAGCAGUAGUCGAGCUCGGGUGUUAAAGUUUAGAGAAACUUAAACAAGGAAAUUUGGCUCUAAGGUCACACAAUGGUAGCAGACAAGAGUAUCACAUUGUUAAUAAAUGGAAGAGAAGAUUGAGAAUAUCACAUUGUUGAUGAGAGACUCAGUUUUCAAUUUGAUGUUUAGUUGUCUUGUACAUAAGGAUACUACAUUUCUUACAAGUCGAUAACUAAGUUGGUGUGUCGGCUUUGUUAGUUCUUGUUUCAAG